UACGGAGGGUGCAAGCGUUAUCCGGAAUCACUGGGCGUAAAGGGCGCGUAGGUGGUCUGUUAAGUCUGGCGUUAAAGCCUGGGGCUCAACCCCAGAUCAGCGUUGGAUACUGGCAGGCUAGACGGUUGGAGAGGCGAGUGGAAUUACCAGUGUAGCGGUGGAAUGCGUAGAUACUGGUAGGAACACCCAUUGCGAAGGCAGCUUGCUGGGCCAUUACUGACGCUGAUGCACGAAAGCGUGGGGAGCGAACAGGAUUAGA
rnacentral:rRNA from 1 species